UACGGGGGGAGCAAGCGUUGUUCGGAAUUACUGGGCGUAAAGGGCGCGUAGGCGGCCUGCUAAGUCGGAUGUGAAAUCCCUCGGCUCAACCGAGGAACUGCAUCCGAUACUGGCGGGCUUGAAUCCGGGAGAGGGAUGUGGAAUUCCAGGUGUAGCGGUGAAAUGCGUAGAUAUCUGGAGGAACACCGGUGGCGAAGGCGGCAUCCUGGACCGGUAUUGACGCUGAGGCGCGAAAGCUAGGGGAGCAAACGGG
rnacentral:rRNA from 1 species